rnacentral:rRNA from 1 species
GAGGAACACGUACGAGACCUGCCCUCUGGGUGGGGGAAUACCCCUUCGAAAGCGGGGCUAAUGCCGCAUACGCUCACCGGGGUGAUACCGGGUGAGGAAAGCCGGAAGGUGCCAGAGGAGGGGCGUGCGGCCGAUUAGCUGGUUGGUGGGGUAACGGCCUACCAAGGCUGCGAUCGGUAGCUGGUCUGAGAGGAUGGACAGCCACACUGGGACUGAGACACGGCCCAG